rnacentral:lncRNA from 1 species
GCACUGAGCCACAAGUGACCUCACAACCACAAACAGCAUCCACCUGACCAGCACUGGCCUAUCAGGCACCGAGGCUCAAGUGACCUCACAACCACAAACUGCACCCACAUGACCAGCACUGGCCUAUCAGGCACUGAGCCACAAGUGACAUCACAACCACUAACACCAGCCACAUCACCAGCACUGGCCUAUCAGGCACUGAGCCACAAGUGACCUCACAACCACAAACAGCAUCCAC